rnacentral:tRNA from 1 species
GGAUCCUUAGCUCAGUUGGUAGAGCAACUGACUCUUAAUCAGUGGGUCGCAGGUUCGAAGCCUGCAGGGUCCA